AAUAUUCCCAUUACAUCCGAGUGAUCAAGAUUUUUCACAGUGGAGCACAGUGCGUUACCCAGAGUGUUCAGCAGUACUGCAUUAUUAGCUUGGGAAGAUAUGACCUUGAAGGCUUUAUAUUUAAUUUAUUUCAACGUUCCAGCCAUAGAGAUGUUUGCUCUGAUUAGACCCAGUAAAUUACCCUCCACAAAUUAUCAGGGGAUUUUCUUCUAUUUUUUUCUGCCCAUUCUCAAACUACUCAGAACGAGCCCAGGAGCUGGUAGCUAUUGAGGAAGAUGAAGAAAAACUGCAUGAUACAGCAGAAGAGAUAAAGAGGAUUUCCCUUCCUUGCUCCGUGCUGAAAUGCAACUUUGCUCAUUUUCACCCUCUACUCUCCUAUGAUCGUCUCCGAUGAACUUUAAAAGCUAACCCAAUGUCAGCAUAGCUCCGUGUAAAUUCAUAAUACAGGCUGGCAUCUACAGCUGAAGGGACACCUCAAUUCUUGGGGCCAGAAGGAGGACAGCCACAUGGUAUCUGUUCUUGGCUCAACUUUCCUGCAUCCCCUGGGUGGGUUGUUCAUCCCUCUAUGCCUUGUCUGGAGGAGCACAUCCUUACCCGGGGAGCAUGGCAAAGGGACAUGAUUUAAACCUCAGUUGCCUGCACCUAUGAUAAUAGCUGCACAGGGCAGACUGACUUUCUGAAAUAAGAAAUGUUCGGUUUUCAUGGCUUGUUGCUAAACACCCACCAGCGUCAAGGACAGAGAAUCUGUCCUAUUCUGCUCAAAGAGCCACUGCCUGGCUCUGUGCUUGCUGUUUACAGUCAGAGUCUGUGGGCCAUCUCUCUUGCCCUUCCUGAAAUAUCUGAACAAGCAUCCUUGAUUGCUCUGUGUUGCAAUGGGACAUUACCAGCUUGUUUCAGGCUGGGUUAUGUUAUUUGUCAUAACAGGGACCAAGCGGGACAGCGGGAACAAACUGAAGGAAACCCUUCAGAGGUGUGCUGCCUUAAAAUGUUCCUUGGAGGCCCCUGUUUCUCCCCAGCAAUAGAGACAGCAAACAGACAUGUGUUGUGCUGGCCCAGAGGCCCGGCCUUCCACCUUGGGGCUGGGGGACAUCAAACACCAGGAACCGACCUGGAAGGAACUGUGAGAAACUGUGCAAAAUGGCCAUUACACUCCAAUGCAGGACUGCUUCUCCAUAAGCCAGCCCUGAUAGUAUCUCUGUUAGGUUGGGGAUGGGGGUAAUGGUCCUUGUAGAAGGGCUGGGAAAAGAGAGAAGAGAAAAAAUGAUGACUGGAGAAUAAUAAUGUGAGUCAAUGGUGGUGAGAGGGGAACACAGAGAGAUGAAGAUAUGUCUGCUCGGGAGCAUCCAGCUGCUUUCUCUGCCUGGCUAUGGUGUCGCCUUGUGAUAGCAACAGGGUCAUGGCUUGCACAAGGACCACUGUGUCCUCCGAUACCCCUGCCACUUUGGCCUGAUUUCAGACAAUUCUUGUUCCUGCUGCCUCAGAAAGUUUUACUGAGAGUGAGACUUAUUAGGGAAGAAGUCAGCCUUGAGGGUAACACUGGAAAAUUAUUUGGGGAGGGAAAGAAAGUACAUGUUUGGUCAGGUCUACAUGCCAGGUCGUGAACCAGCAGAUUUGUUUUGGCAAGAAGUGUGGUUUUGUUGGACUGAAAAAGUUAUGAAUUCAACUUCAAGGCUGAUUGCAUCUUUAUGGCCUAAAAUUUCUUUACAGCUAUAAUUUAUUUCCCCUUUCAUACAGGAAUAGUUCUGGCAAAGGCUGGUCUUGCUGUAACUAACACCCAGAGGGUGAGUUGAGAAAAAUUAUUCACUGUCUCACAAAACAGAAACUUGAGAAUAUCACAAAAACCUGUCAGGCAACACGUUCAGCACUAUCAAAGGGAGGCACUUCGUGUACUGAACCUAUGGUCUGCCUUGGGUGGGUCCUGUGGAUACUGAUGUGAGUUCAGUAUUUGGGAAAGUUCAUGGACUUCGAAGUACAGAGACUCCACCUCUUCUUUGGGCAGCCUUUGAGCCACCAGCUACUGGAAGAGGGAUUGCAUCCCAGUGUGGGAGCAUGGUAAAGCUGCCUCAUUCUUACACUAUUUGGAGGCAUAUGCUAGUAGGCGUGGUCAGAGACAGGAUAUUGGACUAGACUGACUUUUAGUGUAACCGUAUACACCCAUGGGACUUUCCACCUCUGUGACUGUGUUUACCACAGCUGCUUUGCCAGUACUUCAGGGCAGGGUUUUCAUGCACUCUUGGCACACACAAGGCACCUGACACGUACAUCAAGCCUUUAAAGGCCACGAUCUUCACCCAGGGAUGGCCUGCAUGCCAUGUGGUACAUCUGAAACACACUGCGCAGAUUUGACAUUCUUUUUUAUGUGGUUGAAGGUAAAGCUGCACUGUUUAGAGAACACUCACACUUACAAAGCUAUCUUAGCACAGCAUAAUAGAAUGGGUUUUUUAAUUACUUUAUAGCUCCUCUGGAAUACAAACAUGGCAGCAAGGCUCCAGUGCUGUGAGGACUCCUCCAUUCAAACCAGUCUCUGUUAUUAU